GAGUCCGCCCCCGCAACCUCCAGAGCGUGUGCUCUCCUUUCCUCUCAGUCCUGCCAUCUAGCUGCCUUGGGUCUCCCGCUCCGCAGAACGGCCCCACUCUCUCCUGCCUGGUUCUGCCGCCUCCGCGCGCUCUCCCCGUGAGGCCACCGCGCCCCCCAUUCCCAACUUGCCUCCUUCUCGCUGGACUGGGGGUCGCGUGUCUUGACUCCGCCCCCUCCCGCGGACCCGCGCACUCCCGGCGCGGCCUCUCCCCCACGCAGGCCACCAAGCAUUCUGCGGCCUCCCCCUCCUUCCCCACUCUCCUCUCGCUCUCCUCGGCGAGCGCGCUCCCGGCCCGCGCGCUCCGGGCUCCGGUUUCUCCCGGCUCCUGUCAGUGCGGUGACUGCGCUGGGAAACAUGGCGACCGAGGGAAUGAUCCUCACUAACCACGACCAUCAAAUCCGUGUCGGAGUCCUCACAGUGAGUGAUAGUUGCUUCAGGAAUCUUGCGGAAGAUCGCAGUGGGAUAAAUCUCAAAGAUCUCGUACAAGAUCCUUCUUUGUUGGGUGGGACUAUAUCAGCAUACAAGAUAGUACCAGACGAAAUAGAAGAAAUCAAGGUAUAGUAUGACAUUUUUCACC